rnacentral:rRNA from 1 species
CUCUGUGACUCCUACGGGAGGCAGCAGUGGGGAAUAUUGCACAAUGGGCGCAAGCCUGAUGCAGCCAUGCCGCGUGUGUGAAGAAGGCCUUCGGGUUGUAAAGCACUUUUCAGUUGUGAGGAAGGUGGUGUCGUUAAUAGCGGCAUCAUUUGACGUUAGCAACAGAAGAAGCACCGGCUAACUCCGUGCCAGCAGCCGCGGUAAUACGGAGGGUGCGAGCGUUAAUCGGAAUUACUGGGCGUAAAGCGCAUGCAGGUGGUUUGUUAAGUUCAGAUGUGAAAGCCCGGGGCUCGAACCUCGGAAACUGCAUUUGAAACUGGCAGACUAGAGUACUGUAGAGGGGGUAGGAAUUUCAGGUGUAGCGGUGAAAUAGCGUAGAGAUCUGAAGGAAUAACCGGUGGCGAAGGCGGCCCCCUCGGACAGAUACUGACACUCAGAUGCGAAAGCGUGGGGAGCAAACAGGAUUAGACACCCUGGUAG